UACGUAGGGUGCGAGCGUUGUCCGGAAUUAUUGGGCGUAAAGAGCUUGUAGGCGGUUUGUCGCGUCUGCCGUGAAAAUCCGGGGCUCAACCCCGGACUUGCGGUGGGUACGGGCAGACUAGAGUGUGGUAGGGGGAGACUGGAAUUCCUGGUGUAGCGGUGGAAUGCGCAGAUAUCAGGAGGAACACCGAUGGCGAAGGCAGGUCUCUGGGCCACUACUGACGCUGAGAAGCGAAAGCAUGGGGAGCGAACAGG
rnacentral:rRNA from 1 species